UGAGGAAUAUUGGUCAAUGGGCGAGAGCCUGACCCAGCCAAGUAGCGUGCAGGAUGACGGCCCUAUGGGUUGUAAACUGCUUUUAUGUGGGGAUAAAGUGCGUGACGUGUCAUGCAUUGCAGGUACCACAUGAAUAAGGACCGGCUAAUUCCGUGCCAGUAGCCGCGGUAAUACGGAAGGUCCGGGCGUUAUCCGCAUCUAUUGGGUUUAAAGGGAGCGUAGGCUGUCUAUUAAGCGUGUUGUGAAAUUUACCGGCUCAACCGGUGGCUUGCAGCGCGAACUGGUCGACUUGAGUAUGCAGGAAGUAGGCGGAGUUCAUGGUGUAGCGGUGAAAUGCUUAGAUAUCAUGACGAACUCCGAUUGCGCAGGCAGCUUACUGUAGCAUAACUGACGCUGAUGCUCGAAAGUGCGGGUAUCAAACAGG
rnacentral:rRNA from 1 species